GGUCCCAUGUGGCUCAGUUGGUAGAGCAUGGCGCAUACAACGCCAGGAUUGUGGGUUCGAUUCCCACGGGACCA